rnacentral:rRNA from 1 species
GUCNAAACGACUCUCGGCAACGGAUAUCUCGGCUCUCGCAUCGAUGAAGAACGUAGCGAAAUGCGAUACUUGGUGUGAAUUGCAGAAUCCCGUGAACCAUCGAGUCUUUGAACGCAAGUUGCGCCCGAAGCCUUCUGGCCGAGGGCACGCCUGCCUGGGCGUCAC